rfam:Aedes aegypti strain Liverpool supercont1.967 genomic scaffold, whole genome shotgun sequence.
UUCCCAGCAAUUCCUAUCCCUACCUCCUCGAGGUACUGGCUGGGGUACGAGUAACCUAGGGGGAACCUAGGGAAGAUCGGGUAACCAAUCCCCGGUGGGAAAUUUGGUCGUAUGCUGACAAGGAAGG